rnacentral:rRNA from 1 species
AACGAACGCUGGCGGCGCGUCUUAAACAUGCAAGUCGAACGAUCUGUAGCAAUACAGGGAGUGGCGGACGGGUGAGGAACACGUAGGAAUCUACCUAGAAGAGCGGGACAACUUUGGGAAACCGGGGCUAAUACCGCAUAGUACAGAGAUGUUAAAGGGCUAGCAAUAGUCGCUUCUAGUUGAGCCUGCGGUCUAUCAGCUUGUUGGUGAGGUAAUGGCUCACCAAGGCAGCGACGGAUAGCCGGUCUGAGAGGAUGAUCGGCCACACUGGCACUGAGACACGGGCCAGACUCCUACGGGAGGCAGCAGUUAAGAAUCUUGCGCAAUGGGGGAAACCCUGACGCAGCGACGCCGCGUGAAGGAUGAAGGCUUUCGGGUUGUAAACUUCGGUAGACUGGGAAGAAGAACUACGUUCGUUGAGGGCGUAGAGCGACGGUACCAGUCUGAAGCCCCGGCUAAUUACGUGCCAGCAGCCGCGGUAAU